rnacentral:lncRNA from 1 species
GCUCUGAGAGGUCACCCCCACCUACCCCACCCACCCCAGGCUGUGGCUCCGAUGCUCACCUCCCACCCAUUCAGGGGCCAGAUCUGGCCGCUUCCUGCAAGAACUUCAUGUUUCUGCCAGUCCAGCCGGGUUCCCCUCACACAGCUCCCCCGGCAGCUGCCUCCAGAGCCGGCUCCCAGCGGGAGGUCCAUGAACUGAAUGGAUCUUUGCAUUAUCAGGUGACUUAAAUGGACCCCUCGGAGGCCUCUAUUAUGCAGUCUUCUGCUGUUUGGGAUUCACAUCUUCCUUUUCAAAAUGAGCAGUCACUCCAAAUUAUGCAAGCUGCAGGCCCCACACAGCCUGGCGCUGCCUGGGAAGAACUGGCGCCUGGCUUGGCCCUGCCUCGGCCAGCAGGGGACUUAGUUCGCGG